rnacentral:tRNA from 1 species
UGCGGUGUAGCUCAGUUGGUAGAGCGGCUGACUGUUAAUCAGCUUGCCGCUGGUUCGAGUCCAGCCACCGCAGCCA